GCUCUGCCCCCUCCUUCCCAG
rnacentral:miRNA from 1 species